rnacentral:lncRNA from 1 species
GUUGAGUCAUUUGACAUUGAUAUAAAGGAACAAAAGGUGACGGUGAAAGGUAAAGUAGAGCCUGAGGCAGUUUUUCAAACAGUUUCCAAGACUGGAAAGAAGACUUCUUACUGGCCCGUGGAGGCUGAGGCUGAGGCUAACGCCGAGGCUGAGCCUAAGGUCGAGACUGAGACAAAACCUGAAGCUGAGACUAAGACUGAGGGUAAGGUUGUUGAGGUACUGGGUGCUAAGGUUGAUGCUACUAAGGUCGAGCCUGAGGCUGAUGUUGAACCGAAACUCGCAGAAACGGAGACUAAGACAGAGGGUAAGGCUGAUGAUGAGGUACUUGAUGCCAAGGUUGAUCCUAAGGUCGAUGCUAAGGCUGACGUUGAACAGAAACUCGUUGAAGCCGAGACUAAGCCACC